rnacentral:rRNA from 1 species
GAUGAACGCUGGCGGCGUGCCUAAUACAUGCAAGUCGAGCGAACAGACGAGGAGCUUGCUCCUCUGACGUUAGCGGCGGACGGGUGAGUAACACGUGGAUAACCUACCUAUAAGACUGGGAUAACUUCGGGAAACCGGAGCUAAUACCGGAUAACAUGUUGAACCGCAUGGUUCAACAGUGAAAGACGGUCUUGCUGUCACUUAUAGAUGGAUCCGCGCCGCAUUAGCUAGUUGGUAAGGUAACGGCUUACCAAGGCAACGAUGCGUAGCCGACCUGAGAGGGUGAUCGCCCACACUGGAACUGAGACACGGUCCAGACUCCUACGGGAGGCAGCAGUAGGGAAUCUUCCGCAAUGGGCGAAAGCCUGACGGAGCAACGCCGCGUGAGUGAAGAAGGUCUUCGGAUCGUAAAACUCUGUUAUUAGGGAAGAACAAAUGUGUAAGUAACUAUGCCCGUCUUGACGGUACCUAAUCAGAAAGCCACGGCUAACUACGUG